UCUCUUACAACAUGAAUUUUAUUUUAGUUUACAAAUUCAAACACAUUAACCUAAAUAUUACAAUGAAAUCGAGCAAAAACCAUCUCAAGUUAGGAGAGAAAAAAAACCUUUUUUAAAAAAACAAUGGAAUGAUGAACAAAGAAAAAGAUGUGCUCUGUUAUAUUCUCUUGCAUCUUCUUCUUUGCAUCUUCUUGAUCAAAGAUGGAAAGCUUCCUUAUCGUCAGCUCUGUGCACUUUUGGUUCCUCCGAAUCUCCAGGCGCCAUAGUCCCGGCCGGUACCCAUGAGUCUUCUCCGCUCUCCAGUCAGUGGCAUCGAUUUCCCCGCU
rnacentral:lncRNA from 1 species